rnacentral:lncRNA from 1 species
CCGGAGACCACCCGCCCCUCUCCGUCUUGAAACCCCGCAGCCUCUAACCGCCCCGCGUUAGACACUUCGCGGAGACAGCGAGCGCUAUCCCGCGGCCGUGCUACACCGGGCGGAGGUUUUUACUUUGGACUAGCUGUAGACUUCUUCCAUUGACUGAACACCCAUUUGCUGUUGAUCACAGAUGAAGCACAUCUUUUGGUUUAAUUGCAUUUGAAAGGAAUUCAGGUUUUACACAUCCUGUUACAUUCAACAAAAGCAGUUAAAAAAAAAGGCUCUGGGUCUUGUGCUUUUGCAAUUUGGCCUGUGGCUUUUAUGUGACAGAAACAAUUUAUUCAGUGUGUUAUGUCCAUAAUCAAUGGAACAGCAGAAUUGAUGAAGUUAUUUCUGAAUAUGGGAAUAAGAGUCUGG